UCUUAUCCAGAGAGGUGGAGGGACUGGCCCUUUGAAACCUCAGCAACAGACAUCUAAAGUACUGUGCUAAUUCCAGAAGCGUAGAGCUUGAAGAUAAG
rnacentral:ncRNA from 1 species